rnacentral:rRNA from 1 species
GACGAACGCUGGCGGCGUGCUUAACACAUGCAAGUCGAACGGAAAGGCCCUGCUUUUGUGGGGUGCUCGAGUGGCGAACGGGUGAGUAACACGUGAGUAACCUGCCCUUGACUUUGGGAUAACUUCAGGAAACUGGGGCUAAUACCGGAUAGGAGCUCCUGCUGCAUGGUGGGGGUUGGAAAGUUUCGGCGGUUGGGGAUGGACUCGCGGCUUAUCAGCUUGUUGGUGGGGUAGUGUCUUACCAAGGCUUUGACGGGUAGCCGGCCUGAGAGGGUGACCGGCCACAUUGGGACUGAGAUACGGCCCAGACUCCUACGGGAGGCAGCAGUGGGGAAUAUUGCACAAUGGGCGGAAGCCUGAUGCAGCCACGCCGCGUGCGGGAUGACGGCCUUCGGGUUGUAAACCGCUUUCGCCUGUCACGAAGUGUGAGUGACGGUAAUGGGUAAAGAAGCACCGGCUAACUACGUG